GUCCGUAAGUCUUGCGGUGUUC
rnacentral:snRNA from 1 species